rnacentral:rRNA from 1 species
UAAAGUUGUUGCAGUUAAGAAGCUCGUAGUUGAAUUUCGGGAUCAAUAUGUUGGUCGUGCCUUGGUACGUACUAAUUUAUUGGUUUCUUCCUUCUGACAAACCAUGAUGUCAUUAAUUUGGUGUCAUGGGGAAUCAGGACUGUUACUUUGAAAAAAUUAGAGUGUUUAAAGCAGGCUCACGCUUGAAUACAUUAGCAUGGAAUAAUGAAAUAGNACGUUUGAUUCUAUUUUGUUGGUUUCUAGGAUUGACGUAAUGAUUAAUAGGG